rnacentral:rRNA from 1 species
UUAAGCGACUAAGCGUACACGGUGGAUGCCCUGGCAGUCAGAGGCGAUGAAGGACGUGCUAAUCUGCGAAAAGCGUCGGUAAGGUGAUAUGAACCGUUAUAACCGGCGAUGUCCGAAUGGGGAAACCCAGUGCAAUUCGUUGCACUAUCGUUAACUGAAUACAUAGGUUAACGAGGCGAACCGGGGGAACUGAAACAUCUAAGUACCCCGAGGAAAAGAAAUCAACCGAGAUUCCCCCAGUAGCGGCGAGCGAACGGGGAGCAGCCCAGAGUCUGAAUCAGCUUGUGUGUUAGUGGAACGGUCUGGAAAGUCCGACGGUACAGGGUGAUAGUCCCGUACACCAAAAUGCACAGGUUGUGAACUCGAAGAGUAGGGCGGGACACGUGGUAUCCUGUCUGAAUAUGGGGGGACCAUCCUCCAAGGCUAAAUACUCCUGACUGACCGAUAGUGAACCAGUACCGUGAGGGAAAGGCGAAAAGAACCCCGGCGAGGGGAGUGAAAAAGAACCUGAAACCGUGUACGUACAAGCAGUGGGAGCACCUUCGGGUGUGACUGCGUACCUUUUGUAUAAUGGGUCAGCGACUUAUAUUCUGUAGCAAGGUUAACCGUAUAGGGGAGCCGCAGGGAAACCGAGUCUUAACUGGGCGUUAAGUUGCAGGGUAUAGACCCGAAACCCGGUGAUCUAGCCAUGGGCAGGUUGAAGGUUGGGUAACACUAACUGGAGGACCGAACCGACUAAUGUUGAAAAAUUAGCGGAUGACUUGUGGCUGGGGGUGAAAGGCCAAUCAAACCGGGAGAUAGCUGGUUCUCCCCGAAAGCUAUUUAGGUAGCGCCUCGUGAACUCAUCUUCGGGGGUAGAGCACUGUUUCGGCUAGGGGGUCAUCCCGACUUACCAACCCGAUGCAAACUACGAAUACCGAAGAAUGUUAUCACGGGAGACACACGGCGGGUGCUAACGUCCGUCGUGAAGAGGGAAACAACCCAGACCGCCAGCUAAGGUCCCAAAGUCAUGGUUAAGUGGGAAACGAUGUGGGAAGGCACAGACAGCCAGGAUGUUGGCUUAGAAGCAGCCAUCAUUUAAAGAAAGCGUAAUAGCUCACUGGUCGAGUCGGCCUGCGCGGAAGAUGUAACGGGGCUAAACCAUGCACCGAAGCUGCGGCAGCGACACUAUGUGUUGUUGGGUAGGGGAGCGUUCUGUAAGCCUGCGAAGGUGACCUGUGAGGGUUGCUGGAGGUAUCAGAAGUGCGAAUGCUGACAUAAGUAACGAUAAAGCGGGUGAAAAGCCCGCUCGCCGGAAGACCAAGGGUUCCUGUCCAACGUUAAUCGGGGCAGGGUGAGUCGACCCCUAAGGCGAGGCCGAAAGGCGUAGUCGAUGGGAAACAGGUUAAUAUUCCUGUACUUGGUGUUACUGCGAAGGGGGGACGGAGAAGGCUAUGUUAGCCGGGCGACGGUUGUCCCGGUUUAAGCAUGUAGGCUGGUUGUCCAGGCAAAUCCGGAUAAUCAAGGCUGAGGUGUGAUGACGAGGCACUACGGUGCUGAAGUAACAAAUGCCCUGCUUCCAGGAAAAGCCUCUAAGCAUCAGGUAACAUCAAAUCGUACCCCAAACCGACACAGGUGGUCAGGUAGAGAAUACCAAGGCGCUUGAGAGAACUCGGGUGAAGGAACUAGGCAAAAUGGUGCCGUAACUUCGGGAGAAGGCACGCUGGUGUGUAGGUGAAGCCCCUGCGGGUGGAGCUGAGACCAGUCGAAGAUACCAGCUGGCUGCAACUGUUUAUUAAAAACACAGCACUGUGCAAACACGAAAGUGGACGUAUACGGUGUGACGCCUGCCCGGUGCCGGAAGGUUAAUUGAUGGGGUUAUCCGUAAGGAGAAGCUCUUGAUCGAAGCCCCGGUAAACGGCGGCCGUAACUAUAACGGUCCUAAGGUAGCGAAAUUCCUUGUCGGGUAAGUUCCGACCUGCACGAAUGGCGUAAUGAUGGCCAGGCUGUCUCCACCCGAGACUCAGUGAAAUUGAACUCGCUGUGAAGAUGCAGUGUACCCGCGGCAAGACGGAAAGACCCCGUGAACCUUUACUAUAGCUUGACACUGAACAUUGAGCCUUGAUGUGUAGGAUAGGUGGGAGGCUUUGAAGCGUGGACGCCAGUCUGCGUGGAGCCAACCUUGAAAUACCACCCUUUAAUGUUUGAUGUUCUAACGUUGGCCCCUGACCGGGGUUGCGGACAGUGUCUGGUGGGUAGUUUGACUGGGGCGGUCUCCUCCCAAAGCGUAACGGAGGAGCACGAAGGUUAGCUAAUCCUGGUCGGACAUCAGGAGGUUAGUGCAAUGGCAUAAGCUAGCUUGACUGCGAGCGUGACGGCGCGAGCAGGUGCGAAAGCAGGUCAUAGUGAUCCGGUGGUUCUGAAUGGAAGGGCCAUCGCUCAACGGAUAAAAGGUACUCCGGGGAUAACAGGCUGAUACCGCCCAAGAGUUCAUAUCGACGGCGGUGUUUGGCACCUCGAUGUCGGCUCAUCACAUCCUGGGGCUGAAGUAGGUCCCAAGGGUAUGGCUGUUCGCCAUUUAAAGUGGUACGCGAGCUGGGUUUAGAACGUCGUGAGACAGUUCGGUCCCUAUCUGCCGUGGGCGCUGGAGAAUUGAGGGGGGCUGCUCCUAGUACGAGAGGACCGGAGUGGACGCAUCACUGGUGUUCGGGUUGUCAUGCCAAUGGCACUGCCCGGUAGCUAAAUGCGGAAGAGAUAAGUGCUGAAAGCAUCUAAGCACGAAACUUGCCCCGAGAUGAGUUCUCCCUGAGACUUUAAGUCUCCUGAAGGAACGUUAAAGACGAUGACGUUGAUAGGCCGGGUGUGUAAGCGCAGCGAUGCGUUGAGCUAACCGGUACUAAUGAACCGUGAGGCUUAACCUU